GGUAGGUCAGUAUGCCCCGAAUCCCCCGGGCUACACGCGGGCUACAAUGGUCGGCACAAUGGGUAUCGACCCCGAGAGGGGUAGGCAAUCCCCUAAAGCCGAUCGUAGUUCGGAUUGAGGGCUGAAACUCGCCCUCAUGAAGCUGGAAUCCGUAGUAAUCGCGUUUCAACAGAACGCGGUGAAUACGUCCCUGCUCCUUGCACACACCGCCCGUCAAACCACCCGAGUAGGGUCUGGAUGAGGGUGUAUCACUUGAUACAUUCGAAUCCGGGCUUUGCAAGGGGGGUUAAGUCGUAACAAGGUAGCCGUAGGGGAAUCUGCGGCUGGAUCACCUCCUAG
rnacentral:rRNA from 1 species